rnacentral:lncRNA from 1 species
AGAACUGCUUGGAAACAGGACUGGAUACUUAAGAUGAGUGACGUGAGACAGCCAGGCUCUUCACCACUGUCAGUCAGCCAGCUGCCUCUCUCUCCUACUCUCCCUCUCUAAAGGACCUAAGGCUGCAGAAACCUCAGAUAAUGCUUUGCUGAAGAUGCCUUCCUGUCAAUGGAGCGGAGGAAGACAGAGGGGAGUGGCCUUUUAAGCCUUGUUGCACAUCAGCAAUGACAAGACUUGUGAGUAGAACACAGAGCCUGCUUUGUUCCUUGACUUUCGGAUCCUCAGCUGCUUCAACUGACAAUCCGCUGGUGCAGGACUUGGGGCUGGGGUGCCCUGCUCUGGCUUAAAUAGUGUGAGUAUCCUGGGAGCUGAAGAUAUGCAGACUAACUGGUCAGUAAGAACAAUCACUGCUUUCAUGGGAGUUGAAGACCUGAAAACAUGCCUGUGACUGUGUAGUUAGGCUCAAGUGUGUAUCAUCCGCCCUCCAACCUUACCCACCAUGACAGGGGCCCACCCAUCCCUCACCCAUGCAAGCUAUUCUGAAGGUAGCUUUGGGGAAAAUAGGUAUGGACAAGUGUGCUGUAUCCAUUGUGAGAUUUUCUAAUAAAGCAAUCUUCUAUGCCUUGA